GAUGAAGAACGCAGCGAAAUGCGAUACGUAAUGUGAAUUGCAGAAUUCAGUGAAUCAUCGAGUCUUUGAACGCACAUUGCGCCCCCUGGUAUUCCGGGGGGCAUGCCUGUCCGAGCGUCAUUGCUGCCCUCAAGCACGGCUUGUGUGUUGGGCCUCCGUCCUCCUCCCGGGGGACGGGCCCGAAAGGCAGCGGCGGCACCGCGUCCGGUCCUCGAGCGUAUGGGGCUUCGUCACCCGCUCUUGUAGGCCCGGCCGGCGCUUGCCGACACAUCAAUCUUUUUUCCAGGUUGACCUCGGAUCAGGUAGGGAUACCCGCUGAACUUAAGCAUAUCAAUAAAGCGGAGGA
rnacentral:misc_RNA from 1 species